CUCCGGGCUCGCGGAGUCGCUAUAAAUGCCGCUCCGCCGCGCGCGCGCCUCCUCCGGCUGCAGGGCUCCCGGAUGCCCCAGCUGAGGCCGACGCCGCCAGGAUCGUGGCAGUAGGGAGACUUCGCUGUCCUCUUUCUUAUUUAUCUCCUUCAAUUAUGUUGUCUCUGUCUUAAUUUUUUAAAUAAAGCUGUUGGUCUAACUCA